rnacentral:rRNA from 1 species
UACGUAGGGUGCAAGCGUUAAUCGGAAUUACUGGGCGUAAAGCGUGCGCAGGCGGUUUUGUAAGUUUGUCGUGAAAGCCCCGGGCUCAACCUGGGAAUUGCGAUGAAGACUGCAAGGCUUGAAUCUGGCAGAGGGGGGUAGAAUUCCACGUGUAGCAGUGAAAUGCGUAGAGAUGUGGAGGAACACCGAUGGCGAAGGCAGCCCCCUGGGUCAAGAUUGACGCUCAUGCACGAAAGCGUGGGGAGCAAGCAGG